CCCAAAUAUUAAAGAAUUAGAAAGUCCCUAGUUGAUGUAUCCAGUAUGGAAAGCAUCAUAUCACCCUUUACUCAUUGUUUCCUGAUUACUAAAGAUAAGUGAGUAUAAAGUGACCACCAACCAGGUAUAUAAAGAUCAGUCUCUGAGAUUUAUUGUAAAGGACCAAGAGCUUAAAAACUAGACUUCACUAUUUGUUCCAUCAUGUUCAGAGUUACUAUUGCUUUGUUACUUGCCUGUUUUGCUGGAAACUAUUCUAUGCCUCUUGCAGAAAACACAUGUCACGGCAUGACCUGUCAUCAGCUGGUUUCAGAAAUUAGGGACCACGUGAAACAUAUUCAGCGCCCAAAAGGAACACAUGCAAAAAAUGUAACCGACUGCAAAUUAAUCAAUUGCAACCUGAAUAUUUUUAAAAAGGAGUUGAAUGAAAUAUAUCGAUGUGAG